CAAGUCGAGGGGCAGCGCAGUGUAGCAAUACAUGGGCGGCGACCGGCAAACGGGUGCGGAACACGUACGCAACCUUCCUUUAAGUGAGGGAUAGCUUCCGGAAACGGAAAUUAAUACCUCGUAACAUUGUGGUGUGGCAUCACACUACAAUUAUAGCUCCGGCGCUUAAAGAUGGGCGUGCGCCUGAUUAGGUAGUUGGCGGAGUAACAGCCCACCAAGCCUACGAUCAGUAACUGGUGUGAGAGCACGACCAGUCACACGGGCACUGAGACACGGGCCCGACUCCUACGGGAGGCAGCAGUAAGGAAUAUUGGUCAAUGGACGCAAGUCUGAACCAGCCAUGCCGCGUGGAGGAUGAAGGUCCUCUGGAUUGUAAACUUCUUUUAUCGGAGAAGAAACCCCUGAAUUCUUUUAGGGUUGACGGUACCCGAUGAAUAAGCACCGGCUAACUCCGUGCCAGCAGCCGCGGUAAUACGGAGGGUGCAAGCGUUAUCCGGAUUCACUGGGUUUAAAGGGUGCGUAGGUGGGCUAGUAAGUCAGUGGUGAAAUCUCUGAGCUUAACUCGGAAACUGCCGUUGAUACUAUUAGUCUUGAAUCUCGUGGAGGUAAGCGGAAUAUGUCAUGUAGCGGUGAAAUGCUUAGAUAUGACAUAGAACACCGAUAGCGAAGGCAGCUUGCUACACGAGCAUUGACACUGAGGCACGAAAGCGUGGGGAUCAAACAGGAUUAGAUACCCUGGUAGUCCACGCCCUAAACGAUGGAUACUCGACAUACGCGAUACACAGUGUGUGUCUGAGCGAAAGCAUUAAGUAUCCCACCUGGGGAAGUAC
rnacentral:rRNA from 1 species